AGUUUGCACUUAGUGCACAUGAUAAAAUUGGAACGAUACAGAGAAGAUUA
rnacentral:ribozyme from 1 species